rnacentral:lncRNA from 1 species
AUGCCCUUAUCGCCAAGACCUUGGCAGCGGCCGCGGGCGGCUCCGCUCUGCCUCGCUCUGUCCUCGGGGAGAAAACAGAGGGGGGCAGCACCCAGGGGUGGGCUCCGCAGGGACCCCCUCCCACUGCAACUCCCCAAGGGGGUGAAGAAUCCCUGGGGACGUGGGGAUGGGGUCCCCAGCGAAGGGCUGGGGGGGGGGGGGGUCCAGGCCCCGUCUUGCUUUAGGGGUGGGGGUCUGCACGGAGCCCCCCCGCCCACGCUGCCCCCUCCCAGAGGCUCGUGGGCGCUUUGCUCCCGCUCAGAUCGGCUUUGGGGGCACCCGUGGGCGCUGCCGAGCCCUGCCCCAUCCUGCGGGGCCUGGCUCUGGCUCUGGCAGUGGCCUCAGCACACAGCCGGGUGUCUGCCUGUCCGUCCGUCCGUCUGUCCGCCCCGUCCUUUUCUCCGGUCUGGACGUCUGUCCAUCCACGUGUCCGUCCGUCCCUGGGUCCAUCUGUCCGUCCGUCCGUCUGUCCGCCCCGUCCUUUUCUCCGGUCUGGACGUCUGUCCAUCCACGUGUCCGUCCGUCCCUGGGUCCAUCUGUCCGUCCGUCCGUCUGUCCGGGCGUCUCCGUGUGUCUGUGCACGCCCACGCUCACGUGCAGCGGCGUGUGCCCGGGUUUCCACGUGUGCAUGCCCGCGCCCCGAGGGUCUGCGCCCACGCCCGGGGGUGCAUCUGUGUCUGCGCCCCCCCAGCGCCCGCCUCUGUGGCCGUGCGUCCAUCUGUGCGUCCGUGUGUCCGUCUGUGUGGCCGUGCCAAGCCCGCGUGCACCCAUGCCGAUGGGCCGAGGUCGGGGCGCCCCAGCAGGACGGGGAGCGGGGGGGGUUAUUGGGGUGCAGCGCAACGGCAGCCCCGAUGCGCGCACGUUGGCACCGCCGCGGUGCGGGGGGACGGGGACGGAGCCGCGGGGAGGGGACACGGGGGCUUCGCAGCGGGGUCCCCCCUAGAAAAACCUCUUCUUGUGGGGGUCGGCGAAGGAGAUGGAGCCGCGCGGGGCGGUGAAGAGCAGCCCCAGCGGGAUGUCCAUGCCGGGCAGCGCGCCGGCGCCUUCGCCCUGCGGCCUCUCCUCCGGCAGCGCCCCGUCCUCCUCCGGCCACUCCACCUCCAGCACGCCGCCCUCGCCCAUCACCGCCUUCUCCUCCUCCGGCUUGGGCCCGAACGCCCAAUCUGCGGGGACAAAGACGGGGCCGUGGGCAGCGCGUCCCCGCCGCGGUGUCCCCCGGGGGGGUCCCCAGCCCCGGAGCAAUGCAGCAAAAACCUGAACUGCGCGCAACAGGCCUCGUUCUGCAUUUAUUCGGGGAGAAAAAUCCGCCCCUUUGGCCUGCGGGGUCCUGCCCCGUGCCCCAGCAUCCCCAGCGCCCCGUUUCCCCUCUGGGCUGGUUGGGGACCCCCUCGCCCCCACCCAGCCCCACGAGGACCCCCGCGGCUCAGCCCCGUGUGUCCCCCCCCCUCCCCAAAGGACUCACCGGCGAAGUCGUGCACCAGGUCCUUGAUGAGGUGGCCCACGAUGGCGUACGCCACCACCAGCACCAGGCUGGCCGCCAUCACCAGGUAG